AUGAACGCUAGCGGCAGGCUUAAUACAUGCAAGUCGAACGGUAAGUUUGGUAGCAAUAUCAAACCAAGAGUGACGUACGGGUGCGUAACACGUAUGCAACCUACCUUGUACAGGAGUAUAGCUCGGGGAAACUCGAAUUAACCCUCCAUGAGAUCAUAGAAUGGCAUCAUUUAGUGAUUAAAACUCAGGUGGUACAAGAUGGGCAUGCGUCUGAUUAGAGUUGGGCGGGGUAAUGGCCCACCAAGACGAUGAUCAGUAGGGGACCUGAGAGGGUGACUCCCCCACACUGGCACUGAGAUACGGGCCAGACUCC
rnacentral:rRNA from 1 species